rnacentral:rRNA from 1 species
UACGUAGGGUGCGAGCGUUGUCCGGAAUUAUUGGGCGUAAAGAGCUCGUAGGCGGUUUGUCGCGUCGGCCGUGAAAACUUGGGGCUUAACCCCAAGCCUGCGGUCGAUACGGGCAGACUUGAGUUCGGCAGGGGAGACUGGAAUUCCUGGUGUAGCGGUGAAAUGCGCAGAUAUCAGGAGGAACACCGGUGGCGAAGGCGGGUCUCUGGGCCGAUACUGACGCUGAGGUGCGAAAGCGUGGGGAGCGAACAGG